UACGUAGGGCGCAAGCGUUGUCCGGAAUCAUUGGGCGUAAAGGGCUCGUAGGCGGCCCACUAAGUCCGACGUGAAAUCCCCAGGCUUAACUUGGGAACUGCGUCGGAUACUGGUGGGCUUGAAUCCGGGAGAGGGAUGCGGAAUUCCAGGUGUAGCGGUGAAAUGCGUAGAUAUCUGGAGGAACACCGGUGGCGAAGGCGGCAUCCUGGACCGGCAUUGACGCCUGAGUGAGCGAAAGCCAGGGGGAGCAAACGGGG
rnacentral:rRNA from 1 species